CCCAUGCUACAACCGCUCAUGUCAGGUUAUAAGUCCGCAUCUGUGGCGCCUGCCGUUGGCGAGUCUUAGAUCAUUC
rfam:Bacillus sp. FJAT-27916 Scaffold1, whole genome shotgun sequence.